rnacentral:misc_RNA from 2 species
GGCCUGCUUUUGCUAUU